UGCCUAUGAAGCGGUUGCUAUGUUGGUGCGUUGCCGUGGAGGUACUAUUAGGGUUGUGUGGACUCCAAGUUCCAACUUAGGCUUAAUCAAAAGCCGAAAAUAAAAACACUCAAA
rnacentral:ncRNA from 1 species